rnacentral:rRNA from 1 species
AGAGUUUGAUCAUGGCUCAGGACGAACGCUGGCGGCGUGGAUUAGGCAUGCAAGUCGAACGGUAUGGUGCUUUCGGGCAUCAGAGAGUGGCGAACGGGUGAGUAACACGUAGGUGAUCUACCCUCAAGACGGGGACAACCCAGGGAAACUUGGGCUAAUACCGGAUGAUAGCAGCAGUGAUGUUGUUUAAAAGAUGGCUUUCGGGCUGUCGUUUGGGGAUGAGCCUGCGUCCUAUUAGCUAGUUGGUGUGGUAAAGGCACACCAAGGCGAUGAUAGGUAGGCGGCCUUAACGGGUGGUCGCCCACACUGGGAUUGAGAUACGGCCCAGACUCCUACGGGAGGCAGCAGUCGAGAAUAGUCUACAAUGGUCGGAAGACUGAUAGUGCGACGCCGCGUGAACGAGGAAGCCCUUCGGGGUGUAAAGUUCUUUUAUAUGUGAGCAGUGGGUUCUACGUUAAUAGCGUGGGAUCAGGGAUAUUAGCAUAUGAAUAAGCAACGGCUAACUCCGUGCCAGCAGCCGCGGUAACACGGGGGUUGCGAGCGUUGUCCGGAAUUACUAGGCGUAAAGGGCAGGUAGGCGGAUCUAUAAGUUUUUUGUCAAAUUCAACGGCUCACCCGUUGCGAGGCAGGAGAUACUGUAGAUCUGGAAUGCGGUUGGGGAAGACAGAAUUCCUGGUGUAGCGGUGGAAUGCGCAGAGAUCAGGAGGAAUACCUAAGGCGAAGGCAGUCUUCUAAGCCGUAAUUGACGCUAAACUGCGAAGGUGUGGGUAUCAAACAGGAUUAGAUACCCUGGUAGUCCACACAGUAAACGAUAAUCACUGGGUGUCGGGUUCGUAGAGGAUUCGGUGCCGUAGCUAACGCGAUAAGUGAUUCGCCUGGGGAGUACGAUCGCAAGGUUGAAACUCAAAUGAAUUGACGG